rnacentral:rRNA from 1 species
UACGUAGGGUGCGAGCGUUGUCCGGAAUUAUUGGGCGUAAAGAGCUCGUAGGCGGUGUGUCGCGUCGGUCGUGAAAACUUGGGGCUUAACCCUGAGCUUGCGGUCGAUACGGGCAUCACUGGAGUUCGGCAGGGGAGACUGGAAUUCCUGGUGUAGCGGUGAAAUGCGCAGAUAUCAGGAGGAACACCUGCGGUGCAGACGGCUUACUGGACCGUAACUGACGCUGAGGCACGAAAGCGUGGGGAGCAAACAGG